GAUGAACGCUGGCGGCGUGCCUAAUACAUGCAAGUCGAGCGAACGGACGAGAAGCUUGCUUCUCUGAUGUUAGCGGCGGACGGGUGAGUAACACGUGGAUAACCUACCUAUAAGACUGGGAUAACUUCGGGAAACCGGAGCUAGUACCGGAUAAUAUUUUGAACCGCAUGGUUCAAAAGUGAAAGACGGUCUUGCUGUCACUUAUAGAUGGAUCCGCGCUGCAUUAGCUAGUUGGUAAGGUAACGGCUUACCAAGGCAACGAUGCAUAGCCGACCUGAGAGGGUGAUCGGCCACACUGGAACUGAGACACGGUCCAGACUCCUACGGGAGGCAGCAGUAGGGAAUCUUCCGCAAAGGGCGAAAGCCUGACGGAGCAACGCCGCGUGAGUGAUGAAGGUCUUCGGAUCGUAAAACUCUGUUAUUAGGGAAGAACAUAUGUGUAAGUAACUGUGCACAUCUUGACGGUACCUAAUCAGAAAGCCACGGCUAACUACGUG
rnacentral:rRNA from 1 species